GACGAACGCUGGCGGCGUGCUUAACACAUGCAAGUCGAACGGAAAGGCCUCUUUCGGGGGGUACUCGAGUGGCGAACGGGUGAGUAACACGUGAGUAACCUGCCCUUGACUUUGGGAUAACUUCAGGGAACUGGGGCUAAUACCGGAUAGGAGCUCCUGCUGCAUGGUGGGGGUUGGAAAGUUUCGGCGGUUGGGGGUGGACUCGCGGCUUAUCAGCUUGUUGGUGGGGUAGUGGCUUACCAAGGCUUUGACGGGUAGCCGGCCUGAGAGGGUGACCGGCCACAUUGGGACUGAGAUACGGCCCAGACUCCUACGGGAGGCAGCAGUGGGGAAUAUUGCACAAUGGGUGGAAGCCUGAUGCAGCAACGCCGGGGGCGGGAUGGCGGCCUUCGGGUUGUAAACCGCUUUCGCUCAUGACGGAGCUUUGUGUGACGGUAGUGGGUAAAGAAGCACCGGCUAACUACGUG
rnacentral:rRNA from 1 species